rnacentral:rRNA from 1 species
AUAGAUACCCCGGUAGUCCACGCCGUAAACGGUGAGUGCUAAGUGUUAAAGGGUUUCCGCCCUUUAGUGCUGGCAGCUAACGCAUUAAGCACUCCGCCUGGGGAGUACGGCCGCAAGGCUGAAACUCAAAGGAAUUGACGGGGGCCCGCACAAGCGGUGGAGCAUGUGGUUUAAUUCGAAGCAACGCGAAGAACCUUACCAGGUCUUGACAUCCUCUGCCAACCCUAGAGAUAGGGCGUUCCCCUUCGGGGGACAGAGUGACAGGUGGUGCAUGGUUGUCGUCAGCUCGUGUCGUGAGAUGUUGGGUUAAGUCCCGCAACGAGCGCAACCCUUGAUCUUAGUUGCCAGCAUUCAGUUGGGCACUCUAAGGUGACUGCCGGUGACAAACCGGAGGAAGUGGGGAUGACGUCAAAUCAUCAUGCCCCUUAUGACCUGGGCUACACACGUGCUACAAUGGAUGGUACAAAGAGCUGCGAACCCGCGAGGGUAAGCCAAUCUCAUAAAGCCAUUCUCAGUUCGGAUUGUAGGCUGCUAAC